UACGGGGGGAGCAAGCGUUGUUCGGAUUUACUGGGCGUAAAGGGCGCGUAGGCGGUCAGCACAAGUCAGUUGUGAAAUCUCCGGGCUUAACUCGGAAAGGUCAACUGAUACUGUGCGACUAGAGUGCAGAAGGGGCAACUGGAAUUCUCGGUGUAGCGGUGAAAUGCGUAGAUAUCGAGAGGAACACCUGCGGCGAAGGCGGCUCUCUGGAACGGUACUGACGCUGAGACGCGAAAGCGUGGGGAGCGAACAGGG
rnacentral:rRNA from 1 species